GGUUGUGGCUCAGUGGUAGAGUGCUCGCCCAGCAUGCAGGAGGUAUUGGGGUCGAUCCUCGGCACCA
rnacentral:tRNA from 1 species